UUAUCAGUGAGGUUAAUCUUUUUUGUUUUUCUUUUGGGAGAAAUGGAAAAUGAUGAUUUGGGAUAAUGAGGUUGUGAUUACAUUACUCUGGUUUGUGGAGUACAGCAACCUCUACACUAACCAUAUCUGAU